rnacentral:rRNA from 1 species
CACGUAGGGGGCGAGCGUUGUCCGGAUUUAUUGGGCGUAAAGAGCUCGUAGGCGGUCUGUCGCGUCGGAUGUGAAAAUCAGGGCUCAACCCUGGACCUGCAUUCGAUACGGGCAGACUAGAGUUCGGCAGGGGAGACUGGAAUUCCUGGUGUAGCGGUGAAAUGCGUAGAGAUCGGGAGGAACACCAGAGGCGAAGGCGGCGAGCUGGACAAGUACUGACACUCAACUACGAAAGCGUGGGGAGCAAACAGG